rnacentral:rRNA from 1 species
GACUCACGCGGGAAUCUUACCGGGUCCGGACACACUGAGGAUUGACAGAUAUAUACCCGUGAGUACUUCGGUGCUCGCGGGUUGAAAGAUGCUAGUUCUUUCAUGAUUAUGUGAUAGGUGGUGCAUGGCCGUUCUUAGUUCGUGGAGUGAUCUGUCUGCUUAAUUGCGUAUCAAUAAUA